rnacentral:misc_RNA from 1 species
GACGGCAGGGGCGAGUGCAUCGAAUAGAUUGGGUGUAAAGGGUUCGUAGGCGGUUGGGGUUGGGCCUUGGAUGCCCGCCUCCGAGGAGACGGAGGACGUCGAAGGCAGCACCCAACUGGAGUCCCCGAGGGAAAGGCGGAAGGCAAGAGUGACCGAUAAAAUGGGACGACCUCUUGUCGAACACCGAGGGCGAAGGCAGCCUUUUGGCGGGUGACUGACGCUGAGGAACGAAAGCGGAGGGAGCGAACGGG